UAAAAAUUGGUAACGAGGGAGUGAUAAUGGCGACAAUGAACGACGGUAGUGAAGAUAUAAUUUCACUGAACGACGGUAUUGAAGGUCAAUCAAGAAAUUCCCAUCUUCACUCACAUCUUCACUGAUUGGAGGUAAAAAUUUGUUCCAUUUUCUAAGUACUACCUUGUUUCUCUUGUUUGGCUGUUUGUCCCUUGUCGUGUAUAAAUAUUUCGCUAUUAGGAAUUGGGAUUUAGUAUAUUUAUGUUUUCCAUGUGUUCCACCUUACAGUUGUUUGAAUCCUUAUCCAAUAUUCUAAGCCUCACUAGGAAGUCGGUAUUUAUUAAAUUUCCGACUACCGCAGUCGAAAAAUUUAUAAUUAUUAAAUAAUUAUUUAUCAAAUUUACGACUACAGUAGUUGGAAUAUAUAUAAUUAUUAAAUAAAUAUUUAUUAAAUAUCCGACUACGUUUCCGACUAUAGUAGUCAGAAAUUUCCGAAUAUAGUAGUCUGAAAUAUUUUUCCGACAAGUUAUAUUCUGACUACCAUGAAACAGUCGGAAAGUAGUCAGAACUAACUUAUUUUUCGACCACAUUCCGACUACAUUAACCGUCGGAAAAAUGAAGUUUUCUAGUAGUGCUCGGGAGUAGUGUUAGCGGAAUGAUGGGCCUUGUGUUCCAAGUCCAACAGUGAUUGGUCUGCUGAAAGCCCAGAAGUGUUUAAUUGGUUUGGACCUAUCUGUGGCCCAUUAGAAACUCUGGAAAAUGUUUGCUUGGUGCCUGAACCUUAAUUCCCAGAAAACCAGAAUGCUUUAAAAUGUUUUGGGUGUUGCUAUUCUUUGUUAUGUUCUUAGUCUUAAUAUUAAGUAAUUAGAUAUAUGUUCUCUGAGUGUUUGCUUCAAAUUAACCCAUCCCAAAAUCCAUCAAAUGGCCAUUACGAAUAUGAAGUUUUUUUUUUUUAAAUCUUUUAUAGGCACCGUUAGCAUGCAGUAUCAAAUUUUCUUCAGCUACAACUAACUAAUGAAAGUUUUGAUAAAUCUUAAGUCAUAAGGGGCGAUCAAAUUAGUUUACUCAGCAAAUUUAAAUUAAAACAGAUGAAUGUUUUGCUAACUAAAAUGUAAUUAAAAUUUAAAUGUUCAAAAAUUAUAUAAAAAAUAUAUAUGCGAUAAGUUGCAAUCCAUUCAAUAUUAAUUUGAUGGUGAAAAAAUAUAUCUUGAAAUAUGAUCAUAUUCAUGCGAUUUGACUCUCAAAAAAUGAAAUGUCACAAAUAAAUAACUUAGAAAAGCGAAAUGUGACAAGUGAAUGACUUUCCAGAAGCAAAAUACAAGAAGUAAACGAAUAGGACAAUCCAUGAAGAUGCUAGGUGCGAGGUGGCAGAAACCAGUCACACGAGGCCAUAACAUUGUGUUAGGAAGUUAAAGGAAAAAGCACCAGUCACACGAGGCCAUAACAUUGUGUUAGGAAGUUAAAGGAAAAAGCACAAACAUAGAAGAGAAACUUUAUAAAUCCUUUUGACUUGUUUGGGCUUUAAACAGACAGAAAGAAAUUGAAAAAAAAAAAACAAGAAAAUAAACUAGUACAUUCUUUAAUUUCCUCUUCAUCAUUUAGAGUACUCGAUCUCAUCAUUUAUUAAUGGAAUAACAAGGACACAAGCGACGGUGGUACUACAAAUUUUUCUUUCUCCAACACUUAGUUAACUUUCUUCCACUUUUAUCCCAUAGUCUUAAAUUCUAAUUUGCCAAGUUAAUUUAUUACUUCUUGCAAGGCACCUUCUUUGAGGGCUCAAAUCCAAAUGGCCCAACGGUGAAGACAUCAAAUUUGGUGAUAGCUGGAGGUGUUGGCUUGGGAGGUGGUGUGUAUUUCAACAAAGCACCAGAUUUUCCACCAUUGAAAUUUGUUGGGACAUUACAGUAAGAGUUGUUUGAUGAGACCAAGAACACCUUGCACUUGUGGUAGGCUCCUGAGGUCAAGAGUUUUGGCAUGAUCCAGAAGUAUCCAUUCUUGUCUGUCUUUCCCUGUUCAACUAGUGUCUUUUUG
rnacentral:lncRNA from 1 species